GGCGCGUUCAGACCACUCUCCGCCGCCGGCGAGUUUCCUCCUUUCCGUCUCCUUCUCCGGCAAAUCAAGUGUGUCAGGCUUGGUGAAUGACAAGAUGAACACUGCAACAUCAUUAUUUAGGAGGUUAAACAUCAGAGAUCUGGUAUCAAGAACACCUACGUAUAGUGCCCCUAGUGAUAUAUCUGGGGAUGGAUUGAGCUUGAUGUUUAAACGUUGGGCUACGAAAAAGACAGCAGGAUCCACAAAGAAUGGCCGUGAUUCAAAACCAAAGAAUCUAGGAGUCAAGAAAUUUGGGGGGGAGAGAGUGAUUCCAGGAAAUAUCAUUGUUCGUCAAAGGGGAACCCGGUUUCAUCCUGGGAACUAUGUUGGAAUUGGGAGAGAUCACACACUUUAUGCUUUGAAAGAAGGCUGUGUUAAAUUUGAGCGCCACAAGCUGAGUGGGCGCAAAUGGGUGCAUGUUGAGCCCAAGGAUGGUCAUGUGCUUCACCCAGUCUACUCAAGCACUACAGCUUCCGAGUCAAAGACAGCCACUUAAGUUUUUCUGAUUUGUCAACUGUUGAGUGAUUCAUGGAGCACAGAUCUAACAAGUGUUAAGCCACUAUAAAGGCUGUCUCGUUUUUUUAUCUUUUAGGUCACUUGAUUUAAAGAAAAUAUUUAAAAGAUUAGUCAAUGAAUGGAUGUUCUGCCGUUAUUUUUGACAAA
rnacentral:misc_RNA from 1 species